rnacentral:piRNA from 1 species
UGGAGGAUCACAGGGCAGGUGGGGCA